rnacentral:rRNA from 1 species
GACGAACGCUGGCGGCGUGCUUAACACAUGCAAGUCGAGCGGUAAGGCCCUUUCGGGGGUACACGAGCGGCGAACGGGUGAGUAACACGUGGGUGACCUGCCCUCAGCUCUGGGAUAAGCCUGGGAAACCGGGUCUAAUACUGGAUAUGACUCCAUGACGCAUGUUGUGGGGUGGAAAGCCUUGUGCGGCUGAGGAUGGGCCCGCGGCCUAUCAGCUUGUUGGUGGGGUGAUGGCCUACCAAGGCGACGACGGUAGCCGGCCUGAGAGGGCGACCGGCCACACUGGGACUGAGACACGGCCCAGACUCCUACGGGAGGCAGCAGUGGGGAAUCUUGCGCAAUGGGCGAAAGCCUGACGCAGCGACGCCGCGUGAGGGAUGACGGCCUGG